CCUUGUCGGGUAAGUUCCGACCUGCACGAAUGGAGUAACGACUUGGGCGCUGUCUCAACCGUGGACUCGGCGAAAUUGCACUACGAGUAAAGAUGCUCGUUACGCGCGGCAGGACGGAAAGACCCCGGGACCUUUACUAUAGUUUGGUAUUGGUGUUUGGUUCGGCUUGUGUAGGAUAGGUGGGAGACUGUGAAGCAUUCACGCCAGUGGGUGUGGAGUCAUCGUUGAAAUACCACUCUGGUCGUACUAGAUGUCUAACCUAGGUCCGUAAUCCGGAUCAGGGACAGUGCCUGAUGGGUAGUUUAACUGGGGCGGUUGCCUCCUAAAAUGUAACGGAGGCGCUCAAAGGUUCCCUCAGCCUGGUUGGCAAUCAGGUGGCGAGUGUAAGUGCACAAGGGAGCUUGACUGUGAGACAGACAUGUCGAGCAGGGACGAAAGUCGGAACUAGUGAUCCGGCCACGGCAUGUGGAAGCGUGGUCGCUCAACGGAUAAAAGGUACCCCGGGGAUAACAGGCUGAUCUUCCCCAAGAGUCCAUAUCGACGGGAUGGUUUGGCACCUCGAUGUCGGCUCGUCGCAUCCUGGGGCUGGAGCAGGUCCCAAGGGUUGGGCUGUUCGCCCAUUAAAGCGGCACGCGAGCUGGGUUUAGAACGUCGUGAGACAGUUCGGUCCCUAUCCGCCGCGCGCGCAGGAAACUUGAGAAAGGCUGUCCCUAGUACGAGAGGACCGGGAUGGACGAACCUCUGGUGUGCCAGUUGUCCCGCCAGGGGCACGGCUGGUUAGCUACGUUCGGAAGUGAUAACCGCUGAAUGCAUCUAAGCGGGAAGCACGUUUCAAGAUGAGGUUUCCCACCACGUUAAGUGGGUAAGGCCCCCAGCAGAACACUGGGUUGAUAGGCCGGAGGUGUACAGCAGUAAUGCCUAGCCGACCGGUACUAAUAGGCCGAGGGCUUGUCCCACAA
rnacentral:rRNA from 1 species